CAGACAGAGAAGGAAAUAUUGGGAUGGGAAAGAACAGUUUGUUUACAUUACGCGAGAUGUGAUUGCAGACAGCGCGCGGCCGGGCUGCGGUGGAACUGGCCAGUGGCAACCUGCCUUUGCGGUGCUGGCUCCCGCCGGAGCAGCCGUGCCACGGGGAUGCUGAGCUUGGGAGCAGUGCCUGCGAGGAGCCUUGGCGUGCAGGAAUGCCGGCAGGAGAGCAUGGAGCCGUCAGCGAGGUUUAGCUGGUGGAUCAUAUUGUGAAAACUGCAGCCAUGAAAGGCCGUCCAUUUAGUGCACCCUUCAAAACGAAAUGUUAGCAUGGGAGGCUAAGCUGGAGGCUAAUAACGAGGGAGUCAGUGGAGGAGACCAAUGCCACAAGGGUUAUCUCACAGCCCCAGAUGCUGGAUAAGUUGAAGGAGGCAGAAUCGCUUUUGGAUGACAUUCAGGAAGGCCUUGAAUGAUUAUCUGGUGGAGAAAAGACUAUUCUUUUCAAGGUUUUUUUCCCUAGAUGCUGCAAUGAUCUAUUAAGAAUCCUUUUUGAGACAAAGGAUCCACUCCACCUCCAACCUAAGGAAAUGCUUUGAAGGAAUUGACAAGCUCACUUUUAAUCACAAGAGAGAAAUUACCCACAUGGAGUCAGCAGAAAAUGAAAAAGUAGAGCUCGUGCUGCGAAUAAUUCCAGCAAGUGCCAAGGGGCUAGUUGAGAAAUGGCUUCAUGAGGUGAAUAUCUUUAGCUCUUACUUAGGGUUUGGUUACUGUAUGAUCAUUUUCUCUUUUAGGAGCAAUGAAUAUUUUAAGUGUAUACUAAAUAGCUCUCUGAAUAUUUGUCAAGAUGUUCACAGAUUUCAGCCUUAUUGUUGUUAUUUAUUGCAACUAAUUUAGCAUCUGCAAACAUGCAGAAAUUAAUUCUAAUAAAAAGCUCUCUUGAAUCAGGCUGUCAGCAGAAGUUGGUCUGUGUCUGAAACCAUAUGUGUGAAUAUAUGUUUGAGUCUACAUGUAUGUGUUUUUGUGCUUUCGUGGUGUAAUGUCUGUAGUUCAGGAGGAUAAUAUGUAAAAAGUAAUCAAAGAAAUGUAAGAUUUCAAAUGCUUCCCUCCACCCUGCAGAAAGUGUGUCCCAUUGUGUUGGAAGGGUUUAAUAUCCAAUCAUUUUAACAAAAGGGAAGAGAAAUUAUGUCACUGAUAACAUCCUAACCUUUCCCCUUCGGGCCUCUAAUCUAAAUUCAUUGGUUUCAGCACAAAAUUAGUUUGGUGACCUUUUUUGUUUGCUUUGUUUAACCUUCCUCUCCCAGUGGAUGGGAAUGGGACCUUCUAUUCUUUUUUCUUUCUGGGCACCUUUCUUCCACGUGCUUCCCUUUUUCCUGGGGCAGGAUCAGCCCUGGGAAUUCCACUUCCCCUUUGUUCACUGUUGCAGGUACUGGUCUCGUCCUCAGGGGCUUGUCCCUGAGUGCUCCCUAGGCAGGGAUAAGUGACAGGGACCAGCACCCAGCACCAGCAGGGCAAGUGAGGAGAGGCUGGGGGGUUGCUGUUUGUAUAGCCAGAUGGUUGGGCAGAGACUGGGAGCAAUCCCUGGGCAGUGAAACCUGGAGCAGGUGGCAGGUUAAAGGUGUUUGGCCCUAUUCUGUAUCGUGUUCCUCCUGGCUGGGUGAGCAAAGCCAGGCUGCAUAAGCCCACUUGUGAAUCCCCUUUUCCUACACAAUGAAGCAGCAAUGUGGCAGCCUUGGAUGGAGGCCCUUUUGGGUGUGACUGCACGUGGUUUAAAAUGAGCCAUCUGCAUCAUUUUUCAGGAUAGGGCAGGGAGAAGAGAAGGGGAUGAUUUAGGCAAGCCCAAACACUUCCCACCCUGCUCUCUGUGUCAAGCCACUAGCUUGGUUUUGGACUAGUUUGCAGACAAAUUUGUCUUCCAUUAAAAAAAAAAAAAAGAAAAAAAGGGACAGUAGAAAAGUAGCUGUCCU